rnacentral:rRNA from 1 species
AUGACAACAUUCUUUUCAGCAAGGAGCAAGGACAAGUCACCAUUAGUACCAUGUUUAGUUCAUGUCAUUGCUACACGGGCAGCAUCUCCAUUUCAACUUCAGUAUUAUUGUGAGAAUUUAGGUAUGUGUCAGCAUCCUUAUUUUCAGUGUUACAUAUGUGCACCCUCUCCAUGGGAUCCAGGAAGGCAGAUAAACAAGUUAGGAAGCCUGGUUAUGAACAGAAACUAUGCGUCCAUUGUCUUGUGGCCGUCGUGUCCACCUGAUCGAGCAGAGCUUAGUGGCAUGAUCCCAAGUUCGUUGUUGCCUAUGGAUGUGUCUCAAAUGCACAGCAAUUUGUUUCAAAAUGAGUCUCCUUGUUGUCUUCAGCCUGGGAAGCUGCAGAAAUUCAGAGAGGCACUAUUUGACCUGAAGCCAUGUUCGUCUUUUGUGUUGCAUCCAGAAGGAUUGUUGUUCAGACUUAUAUGGCCAUCAACUCAAGUUCUGAUGCAAUGGAAUGAUUCUUUGCUGCUCGGGCAUGCUCUUUUCUUGGAGGCUGGGACUUCUUUCGCACUAGAAAUGGUGGGCGAUAAUGAUCAAUUGUGCUCUGAGUUUGUGCAAUGGGAUGAGAAACGCCUAUGGCUGCACCCCUUUUCUCUGAAUGCAUUAACACUGAAUCUGCAAGUGUACGAGCAGAAGAGCAAGUGCAGAUUACAAGAUAUUAGUGGCUGUUUUCUGUUUGUGCAGAGUGACAAAAGUAGGGAUAUGAUUCAUGUUCAUGAAGCUACUGAUGGAUAUGCUCUUUUUGUUACUGGCAAUAUUAGUGAUCAGCAAUGUUUGGGUCACUGGAGAGUAUCCAAGUACCAAGGAAGGUUGCAGGAGGUCUUAACAGAGGCAGAUCAGUGUGUUGACAAUUUGAAUAACAAGGUACUACGACGGCCAUGGGAUGUAGGUUAUUGGAGUUUUGGUGGUUACAGGUCCUACAUAUUGGCUGGUGGAAAAACUAAAUGGCCAUACACAUUUGCAUUUUACACAAAGAAGCCACGACAGAUAUUACAAGGACAAAAAUCUUCAUGCCGCUUGCGUGCAAGGAGCUUAGUGGUUGUGUACUUCUCAGAAAAUCUGCAAGAUACUGUGUGCUGCAACAAGGCCAUUGCUUGGUUUCUCAAACUGGCAACUCCUGAUGGAAGCCCAAUAUACAUGCAAGUCAGGAUUCAUGGGAAGUUUCCUGUGCUUGCUUAUUCGGUGCUUGAGGCUAUGGAUUUUUCUUGGAGAAGAACACUUUUCAGUACCAGCUUUAAUAUUAUGCCUACACCUGAAGUAGCAGCAGUUGUGCACAAAAUUCUUUCUCCGGUUCCCUUGCCUAUGAAGACAUGUAAUUUUGGCAUGGGCGUCUGUGACCAAACCCACUACUGCCACAAACAGUGGCGGAGCUACUUGGGGGCCAACCUGGGCCAUGGCCCCCCCAGCUCAUAG